rnacentral:rRNA from 1 species
AUGCAAGUCGAACGAUGAACCACUUCGGUGGGGAUUAUUGGCGAACGGGUGAGUAACACGUGGGCAAUCUGCCCUGCACUCUGGGACAAGCCCUGGAAACGGGGUCUAAUACCGGAUAUGACCCUCGCAGGCAUCUGUGAGGGUGUAAAGCUCCGGCGGUGCAGGAUGAGCCCGCGGCCUAUCAUCUUGUUGGUGAGGUAACGGCUCACCAAGGCGACGACGGGUAGCCGGCCUGAGAGGGCGACCGGCCACACUGGGACUGAGACACGGCCCAGACUCCUACAGGAGGCAGCAGUGGGGAAUAUUGCACAAUGGGCGAAAGCCUGAUGCAGCGACGCCGCGUGAGGGAUGACGGCCUUCGGGUUGUAAACCUCUUUCAGCAUGGAAGAAGCGAAAGUGACGGUACCUGCAGAAGAAGCGCCGGCUAACUACGUGCCAGCAGCCGCGGUAAUACGUAGGGCGCAAGCGUUGUCCGGAAUUAUUGGGCGUAAAGAGCUCGUACGCGGCUUGUCGCGUCGGUUGUGAAAGCCCGGGGCUUAACCCCGGGUCUGCAGUCCAUACGGGCAGGCUAGAGUUCGGUAGGGGAGAUCGGAAUUCCUGGUGUAGCGGUGAAAUGCGCAAAUAUCAGGAGGAACACCGGUGGCGAAGGCGGAUCUCUGGGCCGAUACUGACGCUGAGGAGCGAAAGCGUGGGGAGCGAACAGGAUUAGAUACCCUGGGAGUCCACGCCGUAAACGGUGGGCACUAUGUGUGGGCGACAUUCCACGUCGUCCGUGCCGCAGCUAACGCAUUAAGUGCCCCGCCUGGGGAGUACGGCCGCAAGGCUAAACUCAAAGGAAUUGACAGGGCCCGCACAAGCGGCGGAGCAUGUGGCUUAAUUCGACGCACGCGAAGACCUUACCAAGGCUUGACAUACACAGCAUACCCUGGAUACCGGAUCCCCCUUGUGUCGUGUACAGGUGGUGCAUGGGCU